GAAUGGACCCACCUGAGCCGAUUUUAGAAGCACUCUUCCAUGGCUAUGUGCUCUAGGGUUACAUCAGUGUCAUUGGUCACUGACCAGUUGAAGUAAUGAUCCAGCCUUUUACAAAUGUAAAAAUGAAUGAAGAAAAACUCAGCCAAUGAUUUCACAUGAGCCAAUGAUUCCGACUGGUGGCAUAUGAGUCAUAAGCUAUGAGUAAUAUAUGUGGGGCUCACAGCAGCAACACAACAUAGUUAGACUAUUCCUUCUGUUUGCAAGAAUCCUACAGACAGAUGUUUGGAAUCCACAAAAAUCUUGUUCAUGGAUUUAGAUUUAUUAGUAUUAAUGGAUCAAUGACAAAACUAUUAAAGAACUAUUUAAAAAGAUAUUGUCAAACUGUGAACAUAUGAAAGAGGCAAGAAAUGUUAAUACAAAUAGAGAAAACUGAUGUCCAUGAAGAAAAUAAUUGAAUCAAAGAUCCUCUGACUUAGGAUCAUAUAGACCACGAUAGUAAGAAUCAUUUUUAUUGUUCUGAAUCAGUUCCAAGUUUGAGGUUAUCCCUUUGUUAGGAGAGAGACUAUACACUUUAUGAAAAAAACAUGAAGUACUUGAAUGAGUAAGUAAAAGCAAUAUAGCAAGCAAGAAUCCUAAAGGAUGAGGUUUCCAAUUUUUUUCUCACUUGCUCUGCUCUCUUCUCAGAAUGUUUGCAUUCUAGCUGAUUGAGGUAUUCCUCCACAGGUGCGUGCUCUAUGGUUAAACCUAUUUGUUACCAGCAUAGAGAUCAAUAAUGGAUGUACUUGUUCUGGCUUGAGGAUUCAUCCAGGCUCUGUACUCUUCAGAAUAGAUGAUACGUGCUGAUUGAGGAUUUCAUGGUCAUAUGCCCAUUUGCAUCACAUACGGGAGUAUGCAGCCUAAUAAUGGACAUACUUGUGCUGACUUAAGGAUGUCUCGGUGGUCAUUUGCUGUGCUCGCACCAUGCUUAGCAUGUAUAACUAUAAUGGCUGUACUUUGCUGAUUUGUGGGUUCCUCCAAGGUCAAUAUUGUAUUUUCCCCAUGCUUAGGAAGGAGCAUGCAGACCUACAACGGAUGACUUCUCUAUGACUAGGUGCUCUGUUUGAACCAUGCAUAGGAAGAAGUAUGCAGACAAAUAAUGGACGUAUUUGUGAUGACUUAAAGAUUCUGCCAAGUUCACAUGCUUUAUUUGCACAAUGCUUCAGAAGGAGCAUGCAGAACAAUGUAAGUAGUCAGCAUUCUUGUCUUAGUUUGGGUGGUUUGUUUAAGAGGAUUCAAUGUAUUAUUAAAAAGGUCUAUAAUAUAAUAAAAGAUGGUCAAGUGUAUCUUAGUUAUAGAUAUAGGAAUGAUUUGAAGUAUUGUAUUGAAUACCCAAGGCUGUUCUUGGGUUUUUGAAAACCAAAGGUUUUUAAAUUAUUAGUGAAUUAAUGGAUCAAUCAAUAGAGAAAGUAAAAUGUAUGGAGAAAAAUAGGCAAAUUCUGGAUCGAUGAUGACUCCAUGUGGCAUAUUAGUUAUACGAUGAAUACAUCUGGGAUUCUGAGGUCCAUUACAAACGUCAAUUCCCUCUGUUUUAAAUGAUCCUAGAGGGAGAUGUCAGGAAUGUAUAAUGAAUUUGUUUUUGGUCUUUGUGUUUUUUUACAUUUUUUAAUUUUAUUUUAUAAUUGCAUUAGUGACAGACUUGGUAAACAAAUACAUAAUAUGUGUAAAUAAAGAUGAAUAAGAUUAAGCAUUGUCCAUAUAUAAAAGUAUGUGAUAAGGCAAGAAACACUAUUAAUAUGUAUUGAAACAGUGAAGUACAUAGAGAAAGAAAUGGUAUGUGUCUGUGACUUUGGAUCAUGAUGGUAUAGAUAGUAUAAAUCAUAGAAAAUAUUUAAGUUCUAUAUCAGCAACUAAUUCAAAACUGUUCACUUUCUUUAAAAAAAUGAAAAAAGAAACUUCAAAGAAUGAUUAUAUAAAUCACUCAUUUAAUGAUAGUGAAAAGCAAGGAUUAUUAGAAAACAUCUCAUUUUGUUAUCAUCUUCUCUGCCCUGUCUGUACUCCUGAGAAUGGACGAAUUUGCUGGUUUAAAGAUUCUCCCAUGGUCAUGUGCAGUGUUUGCAUCAUGGUUAGGUGCACACCAACGAAUAAUGGACGAUGUGUUCUGAUUUGAGGAUUCCUCCAUGGUUAUGUGCUCUGCUGGGACCAUCUCUAGGAACAAACAUAUAGAUCAAUAAGAUCUGUGGCUGCAUCAGCGUGUUAUAUGACUUAUGGAGACCUUGUAAAUGUGAAAGUUGGAAAGUCCCAUUACUAGGUAUCUAGUAGAUACCCAGAAGAACAAAAAUCAUUUUCCCACAAAGACAUUUGCACCAGAAAGUUUAUUGCAACUCAAUUCAUAAUUGCCAAGUCAUGGAAGCAAUCUACAUACUCAUCAACCCAUGAAUGGAUCAACAAAUUGUGGCACAUGUAUACCAUGAAAUACUAGUCAGCUAUUCAUGGUACUAUUAAAAAAUGUUAUAUAUAAUCAUUGAAAGUAUAUUUUGGUCUGAUUGUAAAAAUUGGAUUAAUAUAAAGUAUUAUGUUGAAUAAUGUCUAUAUAUAAUAUUAGAUUUAUUAAUUAAAGACUUGUAUUGCUGUAAUGAUUAUAUAAACAGGUAUUAGAGCUAUUCAAGCUAAUAAUUAUAUUGACAAAUGUUAGAGAUUACUCUUAAGUUUUUGUGAUUCUUAGGUAAUUAUUUUAUUAUUGUUAGUGAAAUGAUCAGUUAAUCAAUAAAAAUGUAUAGACACAAAUUAAGAAGAUGAGGGCCAAGUCUGAGCUACUGAUGACAGCUGGUGGUAUAUGAGUAAUGGAUGAUGACGACUAUUAAGUAUCUGGAACUCUGAAGUCCAAUUUAAGAGAAAUCUAGUCUACUAUAUGGGAUUAACUUUAUAUAGGGAAAUACUAUAGAUAGAUGUUAGCGGUAUCAAGGAUUGUGUGUUUCUGAUUCUAUGGUUCACUGAUUAUGAUUAUGUUAAUAUAAAUGGAAGUUUAUAUUAUAUAAACUAUAUAAAUAUAAAUAAAGAAAUAUUUAAAUGAUUAAAGAAGAGAGUGGGGCAUAUUGUAAUUGUUAAUAUCUGCAGCAAGGAAAGAAAUGGUAUUAAUAUAAUAAGUCAUGGAUAAUAAAUAGACCAAUGGUUUUAACUUUAGGUAAAAGUCAUGUACCCUGGCAACAACUAAUAAUCAGUUUUAUUGCUCUGGGUGUAUUGUAAGUUUGUUUUCUUAAGAGAAAAAUAAGCAAAUACUAUCAUAAGUUAAUAAAUACCAAAUGAUGAGUAAAUUAAAGAUGAAAUACAAAGACUAAUGGAUAGAAAGUAUCAAAUUUAUUUUCUGCUCUUCCAUGUACUCCUCAGAACAGAUACUCCUGUGCUGAUUUAAGUGUUCUGCGGUGGCCUCUAGCUCUAGGUUGUCUCAUGAGCACAGAGACUAAUGUGAGUAAUAGUCAAUGUUCUUGUUUUGGUUUGGGCCAUUUAAGAGUAGUCAAUGUAUUAUUAAGAAGUAGGAAACAUAAUUAAAGAAGUCUACCAUGAUCCCAUAACGUACAUGGGAUUGAUAAAAACAUUAUGUUGCAUAAUCUGUGUUGAAAACAAUGAGGUCAUUUCAAGAAAACAUAUAUUUCUACAGAUAGAAAAUAAGGGGAUCAUAGUUCUUGUUCUGUUUUUUUCCUAAUUAAUGCAUAUUUGUUUAUUAUGUGUAAUGAAUUAAUGAAUAAAUGAAUUGACAAAGUGUAAAUAAAGACAAAGGUGCAUGAUUGUGGUCUAGUGAUGGAUGGUUGAGGAUAAUAAAUAAAUGGGUAAGAAAGUUUAAGCUAUAAUAGAAAAGAAAUUAGUCUAUUGCUCCAUUGGAAAUGAUCCUAUAGACAGUAGUUUAAAAUAGUUAAUUAUUCUGUUCUUACAAUUUUGUGGUUCAUGGAUAAUAAUUAUUAUCAUUAUAAGUGAACUAAUGCUCAAGCAUUACUAGUAAAUGAAUAAAAAUAUGGCCAUGCCUGGACCAGCUAUGACAUAUGUAAUGAAAUAAAUCCUAGUACUAAUUUAUUUUUGAGCAGUUGGGAAUCAUGUUUUGUUUUUUUAAUCUCUGAUACUGAGGCACGUGUAGACAGAUGUAUGAAUUGUCAAUGUUUAUGUUCUAUGUUAUCUUUGGUUACUGGCUGUUUUAUUGCUAAAUAGGAAAGUCAUUUGUGUAAUUAAAUAAAAGCCUCAGCGCUAUUUAAAAAAGGAACAGUGAUAAAAGUUUUCUCUAUAAUAAGCUAUUGUGCUCACUAAAUUUCAUUACAAAGUUACAUCGUCUGUUAUCACUUUGCUACUGAGCAACUGUGCAUGUGAUACUGUUAUCCAUGUCACAGUCUUGGGUGUGUGUACAAGGAUACUGAUUAUAUCUUCAUAAUGAAUACAUGAAUAAACUAAUAAUAAUCAAUUACCUAAUAAAGACAAAACACUGGCAGUAAUGAGCAUGUCUUGAAAUAG